GCACCUGUAGCUCAGUUGGAUAGAGCAACGGCCUUCUAAGCCGUGGGUCGAGGGUUCGAAUCCCCCCAGGCGCACCA
rnacentral:tRNA from 12 species